AGCCUCAUAGCUCAGUUAGCUAGAGCAUUGGUGGUACUAAAGCCUUCCCCUUGCUGACGUGGGUUCGAUUCCCACCGAGACCA
rnacentral:tRNA from 1 species